CCGCUUUGUGAGCCCAGCCCGAGCCGGGAGAACCCCCGAGACACGGCCCGUGGCACGCUCACUCCUCGGCACCCGGCGCGCUGUGCGCUCUUUGUCCCCGCGGAGCUCCUGGUGCCGCAGGAAGCGCUGGGGUGGGAGUCCAGCGCAGGGGGUGCUGCGGCCUGCGAGUGCAGCGCUUCUCCGGCAACAAAAGAAACAGUUUCUGGCUUUCUUGCCAUUUCUCACUGCUGUUCUUUUGGCCGGACCUCACGAGGAGGAAGUGCACGUCAGCUCAAAGGAUCUGAGACAGGAGAUACAAAACUGUGCAAGAACAGCUUUUACCUUGAGGACAGGCUGGAUCCAUGAGUAAACAAGCACAGCACAGAGACCAGCCUGCCUGGCUCUCCAGCAGAAAACGUCCUGCUGCGUGUUUUCCCAAAGAGCCACAUUUCAGAGGGGACAGCUCAUGGCCGAGGUGGAAUCCCUUGACUGGAGGAGUGAUUCUUCACAAGGACUGUGAGCCCUUCCCUGGAUACACCACAGGCUUCACCUUUCAGAGAAGGCUCUGCAGGCAGCUGGGGCUGCAAGGACAGUUUGUUCCUGUUUUUUGCAACUGCUUCACUAUAGAGAGAGGAUUUCAGUCUCCAAAACAAUUCUCUUGCACUAAUAGGAGGCAAAAGAAGUGGAACAAGCUCUUUGACAAAGAACUCAGUUGCCAAACAGGGAGGGCUGGCUGUGCUCUCCUGCGAGCAGCGAUGUCAAAGAAGCUGUUCCCAGCAGAUGGCACAAGAGUUCGAGCUGCUUCAGUCUGCUCUCGGCAGCCCGUACCUGCCCCCAGGUGUGCGGCUUCAGCUGCUGGGACCUGGAGAGUCGCCGUGUACUUCUGA
rnacentral:lncRNA from 1 species